UAACUGAAAAUACGAAGUAUGGGCUAAAG
rnacentral:piRNA from 1 species